rnacentral:misc_RNA from 1 species
GUCUCACACUGCUCACUCCUUUUAUGCAGCAUCGCACUUCUUAGCGUCAUGUCUCUUGUCGCCUCUCAGGAAGGCUUGACCGACCUGAUUCCAUGCAACGAUCAAUGCGGCGGUGACUACACACUGUACACAUUUGGACAAAGCGAAAAAGAAGUGACAGUCACUGUCCCACUAGCACCCGGCACUAGAGGGAAGAGUCUGCGCGUUGAUAUUAAGGUAAGACAUCUGCAGAUCGAGGUUCCCGGCAAAGGUACCAUAUUGGCAGGUGAGCUGUACAAGCCGAUCAACGUCGAUGACAGCACAUGGUGUAUUCAGGACGGAAAGGAGCUGGUCGUAGUUCUGACUAAAACCAACAUACAAUACGAGGAGUGGUGGCCGCACGUUGUGAUUGGUGAACGUCAGAUCGAUCUCAAGACACUGAAACCACCAUCUAUUCGGUUUUCAGACCUCGACGGCGGUGCGCAGGCAACGGUAGCCAAAAUGAUGCACGAGCAGCACCAAAAACGAACGGAUCCCGCGUUUACGAACGCCUGAAACAUGCUUUCCGAGAUAGCAUUUCCGCAGCUGCUUUUGGACGCACAAAAAUGUUUUCGCCCCCUUUUUAGCUCUCGUAACGAUGCCACCUUUCC